UAAUCCCCGAGGGACGACCGAUGGCGUAGGCAUCUUACCAGAACGGCUUCGACAGUGAGGGACGAAAGCUGGGGGAGCAAACCGGAUUAGAUACCCGGGUAGUCCCAGCCGUAAACGAUGUGCGUUAGGUGUGUCAGUGACCACGAGUCGCUGAGGUGCCGAAGGGAAACCGUGAAACGCACCGCCUGGGAAGUACGGUCGCAAGGCUGAAACUUAAAGGAAUUG
rnacentral:rRNA from 1 species